GAUGAACGCUGGCGGCGUGCUUAACACAUGCAAGUCGAACGGAAAGGCCCAAGCUUGCUUGGGUACUCGAGUGGCGAACGGGUGAGUAACACAUGGGUGAUCUGCCCUGCACUUCGGGAUAAGCCUGGGAAACUGGGUCUAAUACCGGAUAGGACCACAUUUUGGAUGGUGUGGUGGAAAGUUUUUCGGUGUGGGAUGAGCUCGCGGCCUAUCAGCUUGUUGGUGGGGUAAUGGCCUACCAAGGCGUCGACGGGUAGCCGGCCUGAGAGGGUGUACGGCCACAUUGGGACUGAGAUACGGCCCAGACUCCUACGGGAGGCAGCAGUGGGGAAUAUUGCACAAUGGGCGCAAGCCUGAUGCAGCGACGCCGCGUGGGGGAUGACGGCCUUCGGGUUGUAAACUCCUUUCGCUAGGGACGAAGCGUUAUGUGACGGUACCUGGAGAAGAAGCACCGGCUAACUACGUG
rnacentral:rRNA from 1 species